rnacentral:rRNA from 1 species
UACGGAGGGUGCGAGCGUUGUUCGGAAUCACUGGGCGUAAAGGGCGUGUAGGCGGUCCACUAAGUCUGAUGUGAAAGCCCGGGGCUCACCCCCGGAAGUGCAUUGGAAACUGGUGGACUCGAGUCCCGGAGAGGAAGGUGGAAUUCCUGGUGUAGCGGUGAAAUGCGUAGAUAUCAGGAGGAAUAUCGGUGGCGAAGGCGGCCUUCUGGACGGUGAUUGACCAUGAGACGCGAAAGCGUGGGGAGCAAACAGG